rnacentral:rRNA from 1 species
CAAUGGCGUAUAUUAAAGUUGUUGCAGUUAGAACGCUCGUAGUCGGAUUUCGGGGCGGGCCGACCGGUCUGCCGAUGGGUAUGCACUGGUCGGCGCGUCCUUCCUUCCGGAGACCGUCCCUACUCUUAACUGAGCGGGGGCGGGAGACGGGACUUUUACUUUGAAAAAAUCAGAGUGUUUCAAGCAGGCAGCUCGCUCUUGCAUGGAUUAGCAUGGGAUAAUGAAAUAGGACUUUGGUGCUAUUUUGUUGGUUUCGAACACCGAAGUAAUGAUGAGAAGGGACAGUCAGGGGCACUCGUAUUCCGCCGAGAGAGGUGAAAUUCUCAGACCAGCGGAAGACGAACCACUGCGAAAGCAUUUGCCAGGGAUGUUUUCACUGA